AUACUAACCAGUGCAGUCAAAAUUUCAAACCUCGCUUAGUACUCAGCAGAUUACUUGUUAGGUAAGUAACAAUAAAUUCUUUAUUUAUUAUCUAUAUCUUCUGAAUUAAUCAUUCUUACAAAGCGAGCUAUCUAAAAUAAAACUACAAUGUCGAAGCUUUUCUUGCUAUUCCUCUUCAUUGGGAUGAUGACUUUCGUCUAUCAUCCUGCAGCUCAACAGAUUAAAAUUUGCACGACCUACAAAAACUGCACGGAUUACCCUCAGGGCCAUUGUUGCAGAAUAUAGCCCGGGAGCAUGACUGGACAAUGCGUCUCUUGCUGAAUAUCUUAUAAUAAGCGAAGGGUCAGGCUGAGCCUAUCAGUUGACUGCCAAGGAAAAAUUGUCUCCAAUUUCAAUUUCUAUAUAUUUAUCUUUUUCAAAAAAUUAAAUGUCAUUUUUAAUCAAUAAAACUGGCAGCUAAAAAUCUAA